rnacentral:rRNA from 1 species
CUUGCAAACUAAAGAUGGCGACCGGCGCGCGGGUGAGUAACACGUAUCCAACCUGCCGAUAACUCGGGGAUAGCCUUUCGAAAGAAAGAUUAAUAUCCGAUAGUAUAUUAAAACCGCAUGGUUUUACUAUUAAAGAAUUUCGGUUAUCGAUGGGGAUGCGCUCCAUUAGUUUGUUGGCGGGGUAACGGCCCACCAAGACUACGAUGGAUAGGGGUUCUGAGAGGAAGGUCCCCCACAUUGGAACUGAGACACGGUCCAA